rnacentral:rRNA from 1 species
GCCCUUAGAGUUUGAUCCUGGCUCAGGACGAACGCUGGCGGCGCGCCUAACACAUGCAAGUCGAACGAGCGAGAGAGAGUUUACUUUUUCGAGCGAGUGGCGAACGGGUGAGUAACGCGUGAGGAACCUGCCUCAAAGAGGGGGACAACAGUUGGAAACGACUGCUAAUACCGCAUAAGCCCACGACCCGGCAUCGGGUAGAGGGAAAAGGAGCAAUCCGCUUUGAGAUGGCCUCGCGUCCGAUUAGCUAGUUGGUGAGGUAACGGCCCACCAAGGCGACGAUCGGUAGCCGGACUGAGAGGUUGAACGGCCACAUUGGGACUGAGACACGGCCCAGACUCCUACGGGAGGCAGCAGUGGGGAAUAUUGCACUAUGGGGGAAACCCUGAUGCAGCGACGCCGCGUGGAGGAAGAAGGUCUUCGGAUUGUAAACUCCUGUUGUGAGGGAGAUAAUAACGGUACUCAACAAGGAAGUGACGGCAAC